rnacentral:rRNA from 1 species
AACGAACGCUGGCGGCAGGCCUAACACAUGCAAGUCGAGCGAGGACUUCGGUUCUAGCGGCGGACGGGUGAGUAACGCGUGGGAAUGUGCCCUUCUCUACGGAAUAGCCCUGGGAAACUGGGAGUAAUACCGUAUACGCCCUAUUGGGGAAAGAUUUAUCGGAGAAGGAUCAGCCCGCGUUGGAUUAGGUAGUUGGGGGGGUAAUGGCCUAUCAAGCCGACGAUCCAUAGCUGGUUUGAGAGGAUGAUCAGCCACACUGGGACUGAGACACGGCCCAGACUCCUACGGGAGGCAGGAGUGGGGAAUCUUAGACAAUGGGGGCAACCAUGAUCGAGCCAUGCCGCGUGAGUGAUGAAGGCCUUAGGGUUGUAAAGCUCUUUCAGCUGGGAAGAUAAUGACGGUACCAGCAGAAGAAGCCCCGGCUAACUCCGUG